GGGCAAUCUGCCCUGCACUCUGGGACAAGCCCUGGAAACGGGGUCUAAUACCGGAUAUGACCGUCUGCCGCAUGGUGGAUGGUGUAAAGCUCCGGCGGUGCAGGAUGAGCCCGCGGCCUAUCAGCUUGUUGGUGAGGUAGUGGCUCACCAAGGCGACGACGGGUAGCCGGCCUGAGAGGGCGACCGGCCACACUGGGACUGAGACACGGCCCAGACUCCUACGGGAGGCAGCAGUGGGGAAUAUUGCACAAUGGGCGAAAGCCUGAUGCAGCGACGCCGCGUGAGGGAUGACGGCCUUCGGGUUGUAAACCUCUUUCAGCAGGGAAGAAGCGAAAGUGACGGUACCUGCAGAAGAAGCGCCGGCUAACUACGUGCCAGCAGCCGCGGUAAUACGUAGGGCGCAAGCGUUGUCCGGAAUUAUUGGGCGUAAAGAGCUCGUAGGCGGCUUGUCACGUCGGU
rnacentral:rRNA from 1 species